AGUGAACGCUGGCGGCGUGCUUAACACAUGCAAGUCGAACGAGAAACGGUCUAGCUUGCUAGAUGCAGUCUAAGUGGCCGCACGGGUGAGUAAUAUAUAGGUAAUAUGCCCUCUUACUAAGGGAUAACAGAUGGAAACGUCUGCUAAUACCUUAUAUGCCUUUAGGACUAAAGUCCGCAAGGGAAAGAUUUAUCGGUAAGAGAUUAGCCUGUACAGUAUCAGUUAGUUGGUGAGGUAAUGGCUCACCAAGACUAUGACACUUAACUGGUUUGAGAGGAUGAUCAGUCGACACUGGAACUGAGACAACGGUCCAGACUCCUACGGAGGCAGCAGUGGGGAAUAUUGCACAAUGGACGGAAGUCUGAUGCAGCAACGCCGCGUGGAGGAUGACACAUUUCGGUGCGUAAAC
rnacentral:rRNA from 1 species